UUUUAUAAUAUAUACCUACGAUAUUUUUUGUUUUUAUGUGUACAAUCAUUGUUUUAAAAAGUAUUAAGCAUGAAGAUUGUUUUUGUUGUUACUCUUUUGGUUCUCGUAUCGUUGUCGGUAGGAGAAGAGACUGAAAAAUGUCCUCCAAAUGAAGCUAUCUACUGCAACAGUGCCUGCCAUACCGUACCAACCUGUCAGAACAGGCAUCCACGACCUCCACCUUUUUCUUGUGGAGGCCUCUGCUCUCCCACAUGCGAAUGUGACAUAGACAAUGGUUUUAUAAGGAACACAGUGGAUAAUAAAUGCGUAAAAGAGAAAGAUUGUCCCAAAAAUUAAUAUUAGCCACUGUGACCUUCCUACACUACAGCUAUAACAGAUUUAGUACAGCUACAAAACAUCACAUCCCAAAACACAUAUAUAUUUUUAAUAAUUAAUAUGUUAUUAUAAUGUAUACAGUUCAUUAAAUUAUUGUUAUUAAUACUUAAAA